rnacentral:rRNA from 1 species
AGAGUUUGAUCCUGGCUCAGGACGAACGCUGGCGGCGUGCCUAACACAUGCAAGUCGAGCGAUGAAAUCCUUCGGGAUGGAUUAGCGGCGGACGGGUGAGUAACACGUGGGUAACCUGCCUCAAAGAGGGGAAUAGCCUCCCGAAAGGGAGAUUAAUACCGCAUAAUAUGUUUUGGUCGCAUGACCGAAACAUCAAAGGAGCAAUCCGCUUUGAGAUGGACCCGCGGCGCAUUAGCUAGUUGGUGAGGUAACGGCUCACCAAGGCGACGAUGCGUAGCCGACCUGAGAGGGUGAUCGGCCACAUUGGAACUGAGACACGGUCCAGACUCCUACGGGAGGCAGCAGUGGGGAAUAUUGCGCAAUGGGGGAAACCCUGACGCAGCAACGCCGC